ACAAGAACCGGCAGCGGCGGCAGCAGCAGCAGCAGCAGCAGCAGCAGCAGCAGCAACUGGAUUUGCUUUUUCACCAGAGGAUCCAGAUUUCCCUGUGGCCUCGCAAACAAAAAAGAAGGAAGACGGAGCAGCACAGUCAUCCCUUUGUGAAAAAGGCAUUCAGAGACGGGGUUUCACCGUGUUAGCCAGGAUGGUCUCGAUCUCCUGACCUCGCGAUCCGCCCGCCUCGGCCUCCCAAAGUGCUGGGAUUACAGGCGUGAGCCACCGCGCCCGGCCUUAGCUGGUUUUUCAAAAGUCAUGGCGUGUAAUUGUCCGAACAGUGAACUUCGGAGAUCCACCGGAGGGGCGAGGCCACAGCUCGACCGCGAGCACCUGAGCAUCCUGCACCGCCUGCGACGGCCGUCAGGGGGCGCGAUGCCGCCUCACAGAACCUCAAGCGGCGCCCGGGUUCCGGCACAGACGGCCUGCGGCUCCAGGGGGCGGAGCCGAGCCGUCUCCUCAGGACCUACGCAGGAGGCGCCGUCAUCCCUACAGGGACACCUGAGAGGGCCCAGCCUCCUCCUCCUCAGGACCCACUCGGGAGACGCCGCUGGCUCUCUAGGAACACCUGGGGACCGUGGCCAGGGACGACCCAGCCUCCUUCUCCUCAGCUCCUCAGGAACGACUGGGGAAGCUGUGGCUUCAUGGUCCCCGAGGCUGCCCGAGGAAAGGUAUUUCAGGACAGCCAGGAGGGGGCGCACAUCCGCCGCGAAACUGUGAGCAAGAGCGUCUGUGCUGAACCAUGGCGCCACCAGAGGGCGCGCGAUCCCGCCCCAACCAACUUCCCGCUGAAGUGCCAGAAGCAGCGAGGAGCUUCAACUUCCUCAGGGCAGCACGGGGGUCGUGUUAAUUUGGUGUUCUUCAUUGAUGAUGAUUAUUCCCCACCUUCUAAGAGACAAAGACCAACGAGCCACCACAGCCACCAGUCCCAGAACCUGCCAAUGCUGGGGAACGGAAAAUGAGGGAGUUCAACUCUGGCCCUCACAAUCCAGUGGAGGAGACGAAACUCAUCUGCCUCUGUCCCUCUGGGCACGCCUCAUGCCAGGUGCAUCUGUGGACAGGGGCCAUGCUCCUGGGCUUCCAAAGUUGGAGAAAGCUGCCAGGCUCAGGUCUGAAGGCCAGAAUUCUACAGUAAGUCCUACUGAGUCAAGGUGGGAGCAGGGUCGGUAGCUUCCGAGGCUCUGCGGGAGAAUCCGUUUCCUGGCCGUAGAGGUGGCCUGCACUCCGCAGCUUGUGCUGCCCGUCUCGAAUGACUGGAGUUUCCUGCUUCUGUCACUACACCUCCCACCCUCUCCAUCACCUGCUCUGCUCUUACAAGGAUCCGAAGAAAUGGAAUCAUCGUAUCGCUGAUCUACGUAAACAAACUGAAGAAUUGUCUGAAAGAAAAUAUGACAUGAACUUAUGAAUUCAACAGGUGAAGAUUUACAACUUGAUAAAUCAACUUUGUCAGCUCGAGCUGUAAAAGCCAAAGGUCCGGUGAUGAUCCCAUACCCUUUUUUCCAGUCUCAUGUUGAAGAUUUUUAUGUAGAAGGCCUUCCCAAAGGAAUUUUUUUUUUUUUUUUUUUUUUGAGAUGGAGUUUUCACUCUUAUCGCCCAGGCUGGGGUGCAAUGGCGCAACCUUGCUGGUCACUGCAACCUCUGCCUCCUGGGUUCAAGAAAUUCUCCUGCCUUAGCCUCCCAAGUCACUGGGAUUACAGGUGCCCACCACCAUACCAGGCUAAUUUUUGUAUUUUUAGUGGAGAUGCGGUUUCACCAGCCACCUAAGCUGAAGAUUCCCUUGAGAACAAGUACUGUCCC
rnacentral:lncRNA from 1 species